ensembl:lincRNA
AUGCGGACUUGCCCUCUGCAUCUGUGCCUCUCCAGCUGUCCCUCUUGCCAGAGCUGCUGGCUUCACAAUUUACGAGUAGAAGUUCUGGAGGCUGGAAGUCCAAGAUUGAGGUGUCAGCAGGGCUGGUUUCUCCCCAGAUCUCUGUCCCUGGCUUAUGGACAGCCACCGUCUUGCCGCAUCCCCUCACUGCCUCACAGCGCCCAGACCAGCUCUCCUCAGGUCAGUGUAUUGAAACUCAACCGCCUCAUUCAUAUGAAAACUCUUAGGCCUCCCCCAAAUGGCUGCACAUUCUGAUUUCACAUUUAACUUUUAAAUGUAACAAACGGUAGCCGACAGAUUGUGUUUUCCAGAGACGGCCGCACCAACCUCUCCCAUCCCUCCUCUCUCUUCCAGUGUAAUCUAGCCACUGCCCAUCAGCAAGUGGAGGCUCAGUCUUGUCCCUUUGAAUCUGGGGCGGAUCUCGUGACUCACUUGUUACUAACACAGCGGCACUGCAUGAUUUCUGAGGCCACGAGAAAAGGCCAUGAACGUGCCCUGGUUUCUCUUAGAACACCCACCUUCUGGAAGCGCCUCUUGGUGGCCUUCCCUCUCAGAACCCAGUCACCAGCCGUGAACAGCACAACGUGAAGAGGCCCUGGGUAGGGGUUCUGGGCAAUGGUCCCAGCUAAACCCAGCCUUUCGCUGUUCCAGCCCAGGAGCCAGACAGGUGUGUGAGAUGCCAUCUUGCGACUGGAACCUCUCGUCCCAGGUGCUGCAGACGUCGUCUUCCUACCUGAGGGCCAGACAUCGGAGAGCAAAGAAGAGCUGCCCCUACCUGUUCACAAUAAAUUCCUGAUCCACAGACUCUAAGAGUGUAAUAAAAUGAUUUUUUUUCAUGCUGCUAAGUUUAGGAUGACUUAUUACAUAGCAAUAGUAACUGACUCAGACAAUCAGACCACUAAGGGAAGAAGAUUUCUGAAAAAAUACUUGAAGUAGAUGUAUGGAAUUGUUGAACCACGAUAUUGUACACCUCAAUAUUUUUCCUGAAAACUUCCCUAUUUAUAAUAUGGCAUAUGAUUUUAUGUUCACGAUAAUAUUCCAGUCUCAUUAAGAAACUGUUAAAUUUGGUUUGGGAUACAUUUCUUUAGAAGGGAAGAGAAAUAGAUCACACAUUUUGGAAAGGUUACACCUCAAAUUGGUUAGUAUUUAAAAUGUCUUGGUGCUUUAAAAGGAAUGUAAGUUUCCAUAAUCAGGAAAAUUAAAAUACAUAAACUUUCUCAUUCUUUCAUAAUAUGGAUAGAUUAGGCUUUACUAUAAUUUUUAAUUGAACAUAUUUCAUAUUUAUUGGUGUUUGUGUUGCUUGUCAAAAGUAAGUCUUGGGAACUAGCAUAUUAUUAUUUGUAUAUAUACAUUCUCUUUUUCAACAAAAAAACUGAACAGGCUUUGAUGUUUGCUUAACCAGUUUCAUACCCCAUUAGGCAUACCACAUAUGGAUAGAAUCAUUACGAAGAAACACACUUUGACAAUGCUAAUGAUGUUAAAUUAUGACCUCUCUAGAGACCAGGGACCAUGCACUACUAUUCAUUUGUAUAUCUCUGAUAUUGCCUAGUUCAGUGCUUUGUAUGUAAUAGAAGCUCGAAAGUGAUUUAAUGAAUUGAAUUAAAUUGACAUAAUUAUGAUUAGCUCUUUGAAUCACUUACGUCUAAAAUUUUUUUCCAGAACACUAUAGAGAAAUGAGCAAAAAAGACCUGAAAUAAUUAACCUCAAGAAAUACAAAAUAGCCAUGUAAAAUACCACCCACUUCUAAAAUGGAUAUACAGAUGCAUUACAAUAAACGUACCACAUGACAGACUUCUCUAGUUUUAUUUCCAUGGAGUUUCACACCAUUAAAAUGGUAUUGCAGUUCAGGUCAGGACUAACACUGAAUGAGGAUUCUGCAUAUGGUUACAUAUAGCUGCGUAUAUGUGUCUGUGUGUGGGCACAUGUGGGUACGUUUAGAAGGAAAGCAGAUUUAUUAGCAGAAAUGGAAUUUCGGGUCUCAUGAUCCCAUCACAAAUACUCUUUGCAAAGAGCAGUCACUGGGUGAGCAGGGCCUGGUGGAUGUACCUAAGGACACCCAGGGCACAAGCAACCACGUUAACAUGAAGAGUGCUAGCUUUCCUCCUGGAGACCAGCAAAGCCAAACUACUCUUCCUACCCCUUCCCCAUAGGACCCCCAUGAGCAUUCAUCCAGCAGAGCCGGGCCCCGACCAGAGACGAGUCAGGUAGAGGUUUGCUCUCAGUUGUUCUUUGGUGUGGCUCAAGAGUGCAGGGAUGAACUGUUGACCGAAAUUUUAUCUUUGUUGAUAAUUUAACUAUGUGCAGAGAGUUUAAUUGCAGCCAGGGUGAAAUUAAACUUCAACUCAAAAUAUAUGGUCCUUGUCCUCCACAAUUUAUAAACCAGUGAGAAGGAUGGGUGCAGAUGUUUCUAGCUAGCUAUAGUCAUUUCUGACUGCAGAAGUCGGACACUAAUCUAUAAACUGAGUAAAGUGCUGCAUGGGGAUUCUUAAAGGGGUGGUCACUACCUCUGAAAAUGUGGAGAAAGAUACAGAUCUCACCUGAAUCUCACUUUUGGUAAAUGGUUCUGAUGAAAACAACUAGCACCAAGAAUCUGUAAAAUGCUUUAAAAAAACAAUAAUAAAAUUACUUAAUUUACUGAAUAUAUAUACAAAGUCCAAGAUACCAGCACCAUGCUAUGUACUCAACCGCGUUCCUCAUGUAACCCUUAAAAGAGCCCUAGAAGUAGGUUCUGUUAUUAUCCUUGUUUUACAAAUAAAGAAACUGAAGUUUAGAGAAUCAACUUAUCCAAGGUCAUACAGUUAGAAAAUGACAGAGCCAGGAUACCAGUCCAUACCUGUCUGACUCCACAGCUCAAGAUUUGAUUUAAUUGCUAUGAAAUGCAUAUCUCUGUCUUCCCCCAACCGUGUGUGUGUGUGUAUGUGUGUGUGUGUGUAUUCUAUUUUAUAAAUGAAGAAACUCAGAUUUGCAAAAGUCAAAAGACUUUCUUAUUUCUCUAUCACUGGAAUUUUUGACAAAGAAAGCCAAAAGACAUCAAACAAACAACAUAGAACACUAUCUUCACAUAGUAUAUCCAUAGAGAUCAGGGUAUUUGAAACUAAAUUUUGCACUACUUACUGUCAAGAAAAUAUCUGUGUUCUUGGCCUGCACAACAUACGACUGAUGUUUAAAAAUAGUUCUAUGUUCUGAUUUCCCCUUGUCCUUAAGAAAGAAAAGAAGUUUAACACAAGACUUAAUUUGUAACUCA